rnacentral:rRNA from 1 species
UACGGAGGAUGCGAGCGUUAUCCGGAUUUAUUGGGUUUAAAGGGUGCGCAGGCGGAUUUUUAAGUCAGCGGUGAAAUGCCCCCGCUCAACGGGGUGAAGUGCCAUUGAUACUGCCUUGCUGGAAUGCGGAUGCCGUGGGAGGAAUGUGUGGUGUAGCGGUGAAAUGCAUAGAUAUCACACAGAACACCGAUUGCGAAGGCAUCUCACGAAUCCGCGAUUGACGCUGAUGCACGAAAGUGCGGGUAUCGAACAGG